GCCAGUGUAGUGUAGUGGUUUGAGUGUUGGACUACAACUCUGGAGACCAGGGUUCAACUCCCAGCUUGGCCA